UACGUAGGGUGCAAGCGUUGUCCGGAAUUAUUGGGCGUAAAGGGCUCGUAGGCGGUCCAUCGCGUCGGGAGUGAAAAGCUGGGGCUUAACCCCAGUCCUGCUUCCGAUACGGGUGGACUAGAGGUAGGUAGGGGAGAACGGAAUCCUGGUGUAGCGGUGAAAUGCGCAGAUAUCAGGAGGAACACCGGUGGCGAAGGCGGUUCUCUGGGCCUUACCUGACGCUGAGGAGCGAAAGCAUGGGGAGCAAACAGG
rnacentral:rRNA from 1 species